rnacentral:rRNA from 1 species
GCAGCUCGCUGCUUUGCUGACGAGUGGCGGACGGGUGAGUAAUGUCUGGGAAACUGCCCGAUGGAGGGGGAUAACUACUGGAAACGGUAGCUAAUACCGCAUAACGUCGCAAGACCAAAGAGGGGGACCUUCGGGCCUCUUGCCAUCGGAUGUGCCCAGAUGGGAUUAGCUAGUAGGUGGGGUAAAGGCUCACCUAGGCGACGAUCCCUAGCUGGUCUGAGAGGAUGACCAGCCACACUGGAACUGAGACACGGUCCAGACUCCUACGGGAGGCAGCAGUGGGGAAUAUUGCACAAUGGGCGCAAGCCUGAUGCAGCCAUGCCGCGUGUAUGAAGAAGGCCUUCGGGUUGUAAAGUACUUUCAGCGGGGAGGAAGGGAGUAAAGUUAAUACCUUUGCUCAUUGACGUUACCCGCAGAAGAAGCACCGGCUAACUCCGUGCCAGCAGCCGCGGUAAUACGGA